ensembl:snRNA U6 U6 spliceosomal RNA
AUGCUCACUUCAGCAGCACAUACACGAAAAUUGGAACAAUGCAGAGAAGACUAUAAUGAUCCCUGCACAAGGAUGACACACAAAUUAGUGAAAUGUUCCAUGUUUUA